rnacentral:rRNA from 1 species
GACGAACGCUGGCGGCGUGCCUAAUACAUGCAAGUCGAGCGCAGGAAACUGACGGAACUCUUCGGAGGGAAGGCAGUGGAAUGAGCGGCGGACGGGUGAGUAACACGUAAGGAACCUGCCUCAAGGAUUGGGAUAACUCCGAGAAAUCGGAGCUAAUACCGGAUAGUUCAACGGACCGCAUGGUCCGCUGAUGAAAGGCGCUUCGGCGUCACCUUGAGAUGGCCUUGCGGUGCAUUAGCUAGUUGGUGGGGUAACGGCCCACCAAGGCGACGAUGCAUAGCCGACCUGAGAGGGUGAUCGGCCACACUGGGACUGAGACACGGCCCAGACUCCUACGGGAGGCAGCAGUAGGGAAUCUUCCACAAUGGACGAAAGUCUGAUGGAGCAACGCCGCGUGAGUGAUGAAGGUUUUCGGAUCGUAAAACUCUGUUGUAAGGGAAGAACACGUACGAGAGGGAAUGCUCGUACCUUGACGGUACCUUACGAGACAGCCACGGCUAACUACGUGCCAGCAGCCGCGGUAAGAC